rnacentral:rRNA from 1 species
GAUGAACGCUGGCGGCGUGCCUAAUACAUGCAAGUCGAGCGAAUGGAUUAAGAGCUUGCUCUUAUGAAGUUAGCGGCGGACGGGUGAGUAACACGUGGGUAACCUGCCCAUAAGACUGGGAUAACUCCGGGAAACCGGGGCUAAUACCGGAUAACAUUUUGAACCGCAUGAUUCGAAAUUGAAAGGCGGCUUCGGCUGUCACUUAUGGAUGGACCCGCGUCGCAUUAGCUAGUUGGGGAGGUAACGGCUCACCAAGGCAACGAUGCGUAGCCGCCCUGAGAGGGUGAUCGGCCACACUGGGACUGAGACACGGCCCAGACUCCUACGGGAGGCAGCAGUAGGGAAUCUUCCGCAAUGGACGAAAGUCUGACGGAGCAACGCCGCGUGAGUGAUGAAGGCUUUCGGGUCGUAAAACUCUGUUGUUAGGGAAGAACAAGUGCUAGUUGAAUAAGCUGGCACCUUGACGGUACCUAACCAGAAAGCCACGGCUAACUACGUGCCAGCCGCCGCGGUAA